rnacentral:misc_RNA from 1 species
AAGUCGUAACAAGGUAACCGUAGGUGAACCUGCGGUUGGAUCAUUAACAAAAAUUGGUAAAGUUUUUGCUUUGGUUUUUAAUCAUAGCAAACUCUUUAUUUAACACCAAUGUGAAUUGUAUUAUUGUAUCUUGGUGUGGUUCUUUUAUUUUGUUCUUUCAAGGCAAGAUUACCCACACCAAAACUUUUUUAAACUCAAGAUUAACUUAUUGGACCUUUAAAUAAAAGUUUAUAUUUUUUAAACAUUAAAUAAAUUAAAAAAACAACUUUUGGCAACGGAUCUCUAGGCUCUU